GGGGUCUGAUUAAAGUUGGGUCUAGGACCAAGAAUGCUAGGUUUACGUGACUCAAGUUAUCAGUUUACCGGCAACCUUUGGAAUCUCUCAUAAUCUUGGACUAAUUGAUAGGCUUGUUCUAGGCUAUAGAGCUCAUGCAUAAAUAGUUCUCUCUGUAUGUCAUCCCUUAAACCAGCUCUAAAUCAUGACAAGGUGAUAG
rnacentral:lncRNA from 1 species